GGUGGCUUAGUGGUAGAGAGCUUGCCUUGCAUGCAUGAGGUCCUGGGUUCGAUUCCUCAGCACCA
rnacentral:tRNA from 1 species